rnacentral:lncRNA from 1 species
CUUCCUCCUCCUUCUCCCUUCUUCCCAGUGCACCCAGUGUCCCUCCCAGGGUCCCUCCCAAGUGCCGGGCCGUGUGGCUGGUGGCAGAGUAGCGGUCUGUCAGUUCUGAGGUUAAGUGAGGUUAAGGGGCUGCCGCUGGCACUUCUGAUACACUGAGCUGGGGAGUGGCAUGUCACAAGCAGCCUUGUGGAGGGGCUCAUGUGAUGCGGAGCUGAGGCCUCCUGCCCAGAGCCCCAUGAGCAGUGGCAGGAUCCCGCACCCCGGACAGGCAGCCCCUGAGAUCCUGAGCCAGACCACCUAGCUACACCACUCCCAGGCUCCUAGCCCUCAGACACUGCGUGACAAAGACCGUAAGAAGUAGAUGUCAUGACAAGCCCCAUCUUACAAGGAGGGAAGCUGAGGCAGAGACAAGGCUCUACUGCUGGGGAGCACUGGACCAGGACCAGAACCCGGGGGACUGGCUCCCAAGCCUGCUUUGUUAGCCGCUGUCCCACACUUGCAGGGGGCGGAAGUGGGGAUAUCCCCACCGUGUGCCUAAAUCUCUAAGGGAGAGCGAGGCCAUCAGAGGCUGCAGAGUCCCCAGGACAGUGGCUGAGUGCAGCCAGCAGACCUUGGGCCACCAGGAGGGAGAGAGCUCCAGGCCCUGCCCUCAGGGAGCUCACCAUUCGGAGAUGUGGCUGAUGUCUCGGCACCCAAACAUCCCUUCAUUCAACAAAGAUUUAUUGAGCACCUGCUAUGCACCAAGCACUGUUCUUGGCACUGGGUGUACAUCAGUGACCAAGACAGAAAUCCCUGCCCUUGUGGGGCAGACACUCAAGGGGAGAGGACACAAUAAAUACAUAAACAAACAUAAAUGGAGGUGGUGAUGAG